UUUACUACUCACAGAAGUUUAGAGCUUAAUCUGAUGAAACAAAAACUUUCCUACCUAAAAUGGGUUCGACUCCCUAUGUACUGAAAUUUGUGAAUAUACCCGCCCAACCUGCGAGUAGAUAUUGUUCUCUUUGGGCUUUCCCUUUCAAGACUUCCCCUCAAGGCUUUUAAAACAUUAGGGAAGAAUGUUUUGUUCUUCUCCCCAACCGAUGUAGAAUCUCACAAUUCACUACCUUCGUUGGAGCCUAACAUCCUUACUGGUACUUGUUCCCUUCUCUAAUCGAUGUGGGACCCCCAAUCCAUCCCUUUGGGGCCUAGCAUUCUUGCCGGCACGCCCCUAACGCUAGGCACGGUGCCUAGCGUUCUUGCUGGCACGCCCUUGAUAUUGUCUUAUUUGGGGUUUCUCUUUCGGACUUCCCCUCUUAGAAGCGUCGGCUAGGGAGAGGUCUCUAUACAAUGUUUCGUUUUUGUUCCCACCGAUGUGGGAUCUAACAUUUCUUGAAAGGGUAACUCCUUAGCUUCACAAAGUCUCAGAAACAGGGGAAACAAAAUUCCCACCACGACAAAGAACAAACCACCAAACCCAGAAAACAAAAGAAUAUAGAUAGUGAAGCAAUCGACAAAUUGGAUCAAAAUGAACAGAUAAAUUUCCAACAGAAAUCCUACAGAGAAAAGGAAAUUAAAUAUAUCGUAAGACAGAAAC